rnacentral:rRNA from 1 species
CGGUGAAGGUCGGAGCUUGCUCCGACCGGAUCAGUGGCGAACGGGUGAGUAACACGUGAGUAACCUGCCCCAGACUCUGGAAUAACCCCGGGAAACCGGAGCUAAUACCGGAUACGAGACGGAGAGGCAUCUCUACCGUCUGGAAAGUUUUUCGGUCUGGGAUGGACUCGCGGCCUAUCAGCUAGUUGGUGAGGUAAUGGCUCACCAAGGCGACGACGGGUAGCCGGCCUGAGAGGGCGACCGGCCACACUGGGACUGAGACACGGCCCAGACUCCUACGGGAGGCAGCAGUGGGGAAUAUUGCACAAUGGGCGAAAGCCUGAUGCAGCGACGCCGCGUGAGGGAUGACGGCCUUCGGGUUGUAAACCUCUUUCAGCAGGGAAGAAGCGAAAGUGACGGUACCUGCAGAAGAAGCACCGGCUAACUACGUGCCAGCAGCCGCGGUAAUACGUAGGGUGCGAGCGUUGUCCGGAAUUAUUGGGCGUAAAGAGCUUGUAGGCGGUUUGUCGCGUCUGCCGUGAAAAUCCGGGGCUCAACCCCGGACUUGCGGUGGGUACGGGCAGACUAGAGUGUGGUAGGGGAGACUGGAAUUCCUGGUGUAGCGGUGAAAUGCGCAGAUAUCAGGAGGAACACCGAUGGCGAAGGCAGGUCUCUGGGCCACUACUGACGCUGAGAAGCGAAAGCGUGGGGAGCGAACAGGAUUAGAUACCCUGGUAGUCCACGCCGUAAACGUUGGGAACUAGGUGUGGGUCUCAUUCCACGAGAUCCGUGCCGCAGCUAACGCAUUAAGUUCCCCGCCUGGGGAGUAC